rnacentral:rRNA from 1 species
GGGGGAUAACUACUGGAAACGGUGGCUAAUACCGCAUAACGUCGCAAGACCAAAGAGGGGGACCUUCGGGCCUCUUGCCAUCAGAUGUGCCCAGAUGGGAUUAGCUUGUUGGUGAGGUAACGGCUCACCAAGGCGACGAUCCCUAGCUGGUCUGAGAGGAUGACCAGCCACACUGGAACUGAGACACGGUCCAGACUCCUACGGGAGGCAGCAGUGGGGAAUAUUGCACAAUGGGCGCAAGCCUGAUGCAGCCAUGCCGCGUGUAUGAAGAAGGCCUUCGGGUUGUAAAGUACUUUCAGCGGGGAGGAAGGUGUUGUGGUUAAUAACCGCAGCAAUUGACGUUACCCGCAGAAGAAGCACCGGCUAACUCCGUGCCAGCAGCCGCGGUAAUACGGAGGGUGCAAGCGUUAAUCGGAAUUACUGGGCGUAAAGCGCACGCAGGCGGUCUGUCAAGUCGGAUGUGAAAUCCCCGGGCUCAACCUGGGAACUGCAUUCGAAACUGGCAGGCUUGAGUCUUGUAGAGGGGGGUAGAAUUCCAGGUGUAGCGGUGAAAUGCGUAGAGAUCUGGAGGAAUACCGGUGGCGAAGGCGGCCCCCUGGACAAAGACUGACGCUCAGGUGCGAAAGCGUGGGGAGCAAACAGGAUUAGAUACCCUGGUAGUCCACGCCGUAAACGAUGUCUACUUGGAGGUUGUGCCCUUGAGGCGUGGCUUCCGGAGCUAACGCGUUAAGUAGACCGCCUGGGGAGUACGGCCGCAAGGUUAAAACUCAAAUGAAUUGACGGGGGCCCGCACAAGCGGUGGAGCAUGUGGUUUAAUUCGAUGCAACGCGAAGAACCUUACCUGGUCUUGACAUCCACGGAAGAAUUCAGAGAUGGAUUUGUGCCUUCGGGAACCGUGAGACAGGUGCUGCAUGGCUGUCGUCAGCUCGUGUUGUGAAAUGUUGGGUUAAGUCCCGCAACGAGCGCAACCCUUAUCCUUUGUUGCCAGCGGUCCGG